rnacentral:rRNA from 1 species
GGUUAAGCGACUAAGCGUACACGGUGGAUGCCCUGGCAGUCAGAGGCGAUGAAGGACGUGCUAAUCUGCGAAAAGCGUCGGUAAGGUGAUAUGAACCGUUAUAGCCGGCGAUGUCCGAAUGGGGAAACCCAGUGCAAUUCGUUGCACUAUCGUUAACUGAAUACAUAGGUUAACGAGGCGAACCGGGGGAACUGAAACAUCUAAGUACCCCGAGGAAAAGAAAUCAACCGAGAUUCCCCCAGUAGCGGCG